rnacentral:rRNA from 1 species
UACGGAGGGGGCUAGCGUUGUUCGGAAUUACUGGGCGUAAAGCGCGCGUAGGCGGACCUGCAAGUCGGGGGUGAAAGCCCGAGGCUCAACCUCGAAACUGCCUUCGAUACUGCGGGUCUCGAGUCCGGGAGAGGUGAGUGGAAUUCCUAGUGUAGAGGUGAAAUUCGUAGAUAUUAGGAAGAACACCACGUGGGCGGAAG